rnacentral:tRNA from 1 species
GGACAGGUGGCUGAUUUAGGCGGCGGAUUGUAAAUCCGCUUAUGGGGCAGUGCCCCUCGGUUC